UGCAUUAGUUAGUUGGUGAGGUAAUGGCUCACCAAGACCAUGAUGCAUAGCCGACCUGAGAGGGUGAUCGGCCACACUGGGACUGAGACACGGCCCAGACUCCUACGGGAGGCAGCAGUAGGGAAUCUUCCGCAAUGGACGAAAGUCUGACGGAGCAAUGCCGCGUGAGUGAAGAAGGUUUUCGGAUCGUAAAACUCUGUUGUUAGAGAAGAACAAGGAUGAGAGUAACUGCUCAUCCCCUGACGGUAUCUAACCAGAAAGCCACGGCUAACUACGUGCCAGCAGCCGCGGUAAUACGUAGGUGGCAAGCGUUGUCCGGAUUUAUUGGGCGUAAAGCGAGCGCAGGCGGUUCUUUAAGUCUGAUGUGAAAGCCCCCGGCUCAACCGGGGAGGGUCAUUGGAAACUGGAGAACUU
rnacentral:rRNA from 1 species